GAAGAAGCAGGAAGAGCGCCAUCUAUUAUGAGAGACUCCGUGUACUCUGCUAGAAUCCAGGCCGAGAACUUCCAUGAAUUCAUUCUUGAUCCCCACCACCUUAGAAACUACAUUUCCCAGGAUCCUUUGCCAACUGACUUGCCAUGAGAUUCAGCCAAUGGUAGGUACUGAUGAUGAUUUGAAAUCUGGAGGAGGGCCACCAUGUAGGAGCAUGUUUCCUUCCCUCUCUGCCUCUGCUUGUGUCUUCUGGAGAAGAACUUGUCUGUCCUCUACUAUGUACCAGGACUUGCUCUAAUCAUGUUGAAGUCCAGCUUCCAUUAGCUGACCCUGGCUCCUAGUUUCCAACAGCACUGUCUCCUCUUCUGCUUCCUCCAUUUUGGGGUGCGGUAGUUUCCUGUUUGGGUCAUUGCUAAGUUCCUGUUGGCUUUCUCUGGUCUUCUAUCACCAUAUGACCAUUUUUUCUGCAUUAAAUGUAUUCUGUUCCAAGUAUGUAGAUUGGUUUCCUUUUUCUGACGAGAUCCAGGCACAUACAGUGGUCAUUUUUGUCAUAUUCCAUGGCCACCAUAGAGAUUGUGUCAUCGCCACUUUCUUCUAAAUGUAUGAAGCAAGAGCAUAUUCCAUGUGUGCACUGAUUAUUUUAAGUCUACCACUUACUGAGCAGCCACUGUGCACCAGGUAUUAUAAGGAUGCCAUCCAGCCUAUUUCUCUUCAGCCUCACUGCAAGACACAGUUGUCCUCAUUCUCUUUAUUCCAGACAUGUUGGUUUUCUUUCAGGUCACCAAAAUAACACAUUUGUUUCUACUCAAUGCCUUUGCACAUGUUAUAUCCUGUGUGGCGUGAAGGAAUGGUUCCCAGUCCCAGAAAUGAUCCUCACUUAUUCUUUAUGUCUCAAGUUAAACUUUUACAUCUCUCGGAAGGUUUUCCUGACCCUAGACUGUUAAUGUUUUCCUGCUGUACACUGUCAUUUUACCAUGUACUUUCCCCCUUGUAGUAGUUUCAAAAUUAAUUAAAUAAUGUACUGUAUAGUUUGUAUUUUAAUGUCUCAUUAUAUGUGUUAAGAUGUAUGA